UUAAGUUCAGCGGGUAUUCCUACCUGAUCCGAGGUCAAAAUUUCAGAAGUUGGGGGUUUAACGGCAGGGCACCGCCAGGGCCUUCCAAAGCGAGAUGUAACUACUACGCUCGGGGUCCUGGCGAGCUCGCCACUGGAUUUCAGGGCCCGCCCUUUUGCAGGCGGUGCCCCAUCACCAAGCAUUGCUUGAGGGUUGAAAUG
rnacentral:misc_RNA from 1 species